CGGAGGUGAAUAUUUACAGCUUAUUGACAGCUAACAGCAAUGACCUGUCCCUAGCUUCUGGCUGGAUCUGAAUAUGUGAUGGCGGUUGCUACUGAACAUAGAAAGGAAGAGGAAGUGGGAAAUGGUGGGAGAAGGUAGGACUGCGAGAGCUAUUCUGCAAGGGAGUGGAUUCAAUAAAAGGAACGAAUGUGCAGGAGGCACAGAAGUCAGAGAGAAACGUGCGGAGCAGAAACGCGGGCACUUGUGAGCCAUCUAACCAUGCUGCGCGUGAGGGCCAGAGCCAGGAGGACCUCGAAGGAAGAAAGAAACUCAAAACAGCUGACGUGAACUGUGGCUUCAUAGUGGGAUUUAGAUAAAGGGGUGACAUGUUAAAACGUGCUUUUAAGAUUAACCUGCCAGAGCAGUCCAGCUCUAUUAUUUUUCAGACCACCUAAAAACUCACGGAAAGACAACACAUCUAAUAACUAUUCAAAAUUUAGUCCACCCUUUCCUUUCAGUCCUAAGAUUUUCCCAAACAGCGUUUUGUAAAGCCCAGAAACUUGUGUUUUAGACUGUAUGCUUGUAUUUUUUUCAUUCCCAAAUAUGCAUGUUGAGAUCGUUUACCCUGCUACCACAGGGCUAAGCAGAAGGCAUUCAUUUUAUUUUCUUCUUCAGUGAGUGUGACAAUUUGAACAAGAAUGGUCAAAUUUCUUUCUUUUCUUUUCUUUUGUUUUUCCCUAAAUCAAACUCUGUCUAUUCAGAAGAGGAUUGCUUUGCGGUUCCAUUAAAUGAAAUAACACAUUCUGCUCUGAUAUUUAAUAGAGUGAAUCUCGGCCUCACUGGCUCUCGGCUCCAUUGACCCUAGAGCUCACCGAAGGGACAUUUUCCCCAUGGACAGAUCUGGAAAGCCACAAUUUUUUCCUUUCCCCAGAGAUUUCUGCU
rnacentral:lncRNA from 1 species